rnacentral:rRNA from 1 species
UACGGAGGAUCCAAGCGUUAUCCGGAUUUAUUGGGUUUAAAGGGUGCGUAGGCGGAACGAUAAGUCAGUGGUGAAAGCCUGCAGCUUAACUGCAGAACUGCCAUUGAUACUGUCGAUCUUGAGUACAUUUGAUGUGGGCGGAAUGUGUCAUGUAGCGGUGAAAUGCUUAGAUAUGACACAGAACACCGAUUGCGAAGGCAGCUCACAAAACUGUAAACUUGACGCCUG